ACUCGGGUGAAUAUGAUGCUUGUGAUGCUACUCUGAGACCCCGUUCACACGAAUGACACGAUACCGGCAGAGUUUGAAAACGGUACGAAAUUCUUACGUUUAGGGGUUGCGUUCACACGAUACCUGUAUGAAAAACUGUGAAACCGUAACGCUAACCGUAAGAGUUUGAAAACGGAACGAAAUUCUACCAUCAGAGUGCCGUGUGAACGCCUAACCGUAAGAAUUUCAUUAC